UUGCUGCUGCUGCCUGAGAUGGGGCAAAGAAAUGAACUGAGUUGUCCCCCGCUGCCUCCCAGCAUCGCCUGUCCCUGCAAAGCCGGAGCUGCGUGAGCAUCAGGAAAUUUGAUGAGUCCUCUUCCGGCAACUAGCCGAAAUCUGUUCCGCUGCACAUCACCGGAGCGCUAUGUGGUUGAGGAGACAACACGAACACAGUCCCUGCUACCUCAAAUUACGCAGUCUGGUUUCCUGUGUGUCGGUAAAUCAGCGGGGUCACCAUACCCAAGGUGCAAAAAGGGGAUGGGAAAACCCA